rnacentral:rRNA from 1 species
GGGAGCGUCGUGCCGGCAGUGAAGUCCCCGAGUGAUCGAGGGGUGGAGGCGGCACGAGUGAGAAUGCAGGCAUGAGUAGCGAAUCCGAUGUGAGAAACAUCGGCGCCGAAUGAUCAAGGGUUCCAGGGUCAAGCUAAUCUGCCCUGGGUAAGUCGGGACCUAAGGCGAGGCCGACAGGCGUAGUCGAUGGACAACGGGUUGAUAUUCCCGUACCGGCAACAUGGCGCCCCUGACGAACCCGGUGAUGCUAACCAUCCGAAACCACACCGACCGGACCCUUCGGGGCGAGGCGGUGUGGCAGAGCGUGGGAUCCGAACCGGUAGUAGUCAAGCGAUGGGGUGACGCAGGAAGGUAGCCCAACCGUGGCGAUGGUAGACCACGGGCAAGGACGUAGCACGGGUGGUAGGCAAAUCCGCCGCCCUCACUUCAAUGUGGAGUGUGAGAUCUGACGCGGAGCCCAACGGGCGAAGUGGGUGAUCCUAUGCUGCCAAGAAAAACCUCUAGCGAGCCAUGCGCCGCCCGUACCCCAAACCGACUCAGGUGAUCAGGUAGAGAAUACCAAGGCGAUCGAGAGAACCAUGGUUAAGGAACUCGGCAAAAUGCCCCCGUAACUUCGGGAGAAGGGGGACCCGAACCGUCAACCCACUAGCUGGGCGAAGCGGGGAGGGUCGCAGAGACCAGGCCCAAGCGACUGUUUACUAAAAACACAGGUCCGUGCGAAGUCGCAAGACGAUGUAUACGGACUGACUCCUGCCCGGUGCUGGAAGGUUAAGGGGACACGUCAGCCCGCACCCGCUCUUCGGAGCGGCUGGGUGAAGCGUUGAACUUAAGCCCCAGUAAACGGCGGUGGUAACUAUAACCAUCCUAAGGUAGCGAAAUUCCUUGUCGGGUAAGUUCCGACCUGCACGAAUGGAGUAACGACUUGGGCGCUGUCUCAACCAUGGACUCGGCGAAAUUGCAGUACGAGUAAAGAUGCUCGUUACGCGCGGCAGGACGGAAAGACCCCGGGACCUUUACUAUAGUUUGGUAUUGGUGUUUGGUACGGCUUGUGUAGGAUAGGUGGGAGACGGUGAAGCAUCCACGCCAGUGGGUGUGGAGUCAACGUUGAAAUACCACUCUGGUCGUAUUAGAUGUCUAACCUAGGCCCAUGAUCUGGGCCAGGGACAGUGCCUGAUGGGUAGUUUAACUGGGGCGGUUGCCUCCUAAAAUGUAACGGAGGCGCUCAAAGGUUCCCUCAGCCUGGUUGGCAAUCAGGUGACGAGUGUAAGUGCACAAGGGAGCUUGACUGCGAGACAGACAUGUCGAGCAGGGACGAAAGUCGGAACUAGUGAUCCGGCCACGGCAAGUGGAAGCGUGGUCGCUCAACGGAUAAAAGGUACCCCGGGGAUAACAGGCUGAUCUUCCCCAAGAGUCCAUAUCGACGGGAUGGUUUGGCACCUCGAUGUCGGCUCGUCGCAUCCUCGGGCUGGAGUAGGUGCCAAGGGUUGGGCUGUUCGCCCAUUAAAGCGGCACGCGAGCUGGGUUUAGAACGUCGUGAGACAGUUCGGUCCCUAUCCGCCGCGCGCGCAGGAAACUUGAGAAAAGCUGUCCCUAGUACGAGAGGACCGGGAUGGACGAACCUCUGGUGUGCCAGUUGUUCUGCCAAGAGCACGGCUGGUUAGCUACGUUCGGAAGUGAUAACCGCUGAAAGCAUCUAAGCGGGAAGCACGUUUCAAGAUGAGGUUUCCCACCGGGUUAACCGGGUAAGGCCCCCAGUAGACGACUGGGUUGAUAGGCCGGAGGUGUACAGCAGUAAUGCCUAGCCGACCGGUACUAAUAGGCCGAGGGCUUGUCCCU